GUGUUGAUGCAUGAAGACGUCUCACUCCCUCUGCAAUGCAGGCGACAAAUGGCCAGCAACAGCAACAAAUGCCACUCUAGUUGUGUCUCUGUGGAAUAGACCAGCCUCAGUUUCUGCUGCCAUCUCUUCUCUUUCUCAUCUUCUCUUUUCUUUUAGGGCUCCUUGAGUUAAAAAGUCCACAGGCACUAGAUGUGUAACUAUCCCCCCAGCCCCCAUGUACUGUGUACAAUACCUGCAAAUAGCAGGUAUUGUACAAUCUACAAAACAUCUGGUCACAAGUCUUUCGGAUAAGGGAGCCUCAAUCUGUAUUAUGUAUCUGACAAGUAUUUUGCAGUAGAAAUACUGUUGGAGAUGCUCAUGUCCCUGAUUAUGUCAUACAAAGUCUCCAUCCCUCAGUUAAGCAAAGAUAAAGUUAAAAAAAAACAGCAGAGUUAAUUGCCGGAUACCAUUUAAAAUGUCAUGCUAAGAAAUCACUUUAAAAGACAUUCCAGCAAUAGAAAAGCUAGAGUGCUAUAUGGCUCAGCAAAAGAAAGCAAUUCCAUGUGCGGCACCAUACAGCAGAUGGCCAUUGACUCUCCAGACUUACUGUGGAACCAUUGCAGUCUUGCCCUCACACACAUUCCAUCCUUGGUAGAUAGCACAAGGGGACGAGUUGGAAGAGCCCGCCUGUUCAACCCCUUACUAUCCAAUAAAUGAAUAUCAAACUAAAACUAUUUUGUCUGUCUUCUCUGUUCCCUUGGUGUUUCUGAGUCUAUAUGUUAAUUUGUUGAGCAUUGUCAAGGUAUAGACUCUCUCGAGCUAAUUUCACAUGCAAAGUCCAUCAAGUGUCUUCCAAAACUUGGCAGUUUCCAAAUUCACAAUAUGUAAAACCUUUAAUAUUAAUUCUUUAUGUUCAAGUGUUUUAUUAGGAACACUCUCAGUAUAGUAGAGUUCCACAGUUUUUAACUAUUUUGUUCUGACCUAAUCAGAUUUAUUACUUGAUGACAAAAUUAUUCUCUUCUGGGCCUUGUAACCAGGAUAGCAUGCUUGUUGUUGCCUCUCCAUUAAAUAGAAGAUUGAAUUAAUGAAAAUAUUCAAUUAAGUCAGGCUUAAAUACCAUCCAAUCUCUCAUACAUUGGCAAAGAUAACCAGAUUUAGCUCAAUUUGUUUGCAAAUAGUAAGAUUCCAAGAUCAUCCCAGGAACUGACCUUACUAACUUUCCAC
rnacentral:lncRNA from 11 species